rnacentral:rRNA from 1 species
UGCCCUGUGACAUUGUUUAACGGCCGCGGUAUUAUGACCGUGCGAAGGUAGCGUAAUCACUUGUCUUUUAAUUGAAGACCUGUAUGAAAGGCAUCACGAGAGUUUACCUGUCUCUAUUUUCUAAUCAAUGAAAUUGAUUUCCCCGUGCAGAAGCGGGAAUAUAACCAUAAGACGAGAAGACCCUAUGGAGCUUUAAACACUUAAGUUACUAUCUUACUCAUUAAUUAAUCUAAAGACUUAACCACUCUGAUAGCUAACCUAACUUAAUGUUUUCGGUUGGGGCGACCAAGGAGCAAAAGAAAACCUCCUUAUCGAUUGAGUAUUUUUACUUUAAAACCAGAACGACAGUUCUGAUUAAUAGAAUAUCUAACGAAUAAUGACCCAGGGCUAUACCCUGAUCAAUGAACCAAGUUACCCUAGGGAUAACAGCGCAAUCCUUUCUAAGAGUCCAUAUCGCCGAAAGGGUUUACGACCUCGAUGUUGGAUCAGGACAUCCUAAU